rnacentral:lncRNA from 1 species
UGAUAUGUAAAUGUUUUGAAUGAAACUAGCCAUUAGAAUGGCUUGUGUUUGACAUAUUUUGAUAUAUUUAUAAGUGGAUCUAUCAUGUUUGAAGAAUAAAUGUGAUCAUACAUAUAUGCAUUUAGUAAAUAGGUAAGUAUGAAUGAUAGAUUAACAUGAUAAUAAAUUGUCAUCUGAGGUACCUAAGGGUAUAUUAGUUGUAUGUGAUAUUAUUUCAUGUUUAAGACAUGAUUUGGACUUGUUUUAAAUACUUUGAUAUGGUUUGUGAAUGUGUUUAAGUGUUGGUAUAGGUGGAAGACGAAUUGGGUGAGAAAUGUGGCUUGGAAAAUAGCCUAUUAUCGUUCACACGGGCAAAGACACGGGUGUGUGUCUUAGCCGUGUGUGACACAUGGCCUAGUAAAAGGGCGUGUGACACAUGGCCUAGUAAAAGGGCGUGUGACACAUGGCCUAGUAAAAGGGCGUGUGAUUUGGCUGUCUGACCCUUGCACCUUCACAUGGCUUAGUACACGAGCGUGUGACUUGGCCGUGUGACCCAAGUCAGAGAGUUACAUGACUUGAGACACGGGCGUAUCCCUUGGUCGUGUGAACCACACGGGCGUGUGACCCUUGUACUUAAGAAAAAUUUUGAGAUUUUGCGAAG